rnacentral:rRNA from 1 species
GUCUUUUUGAGUUAUUUUUAAAGUCUGACCUGCCCACUGAAAUUAUUUAAAUGGCCGCAGUAUUCUAACUGUGCAAAGGUAGCAUAAUCAUUAGUCUUUUAAUUGAAGGCUGGUAUGAACGGUUGGACGAGGUAUAAGCUGUUUCAUAUAAAUUUAUAAUAGAAUUUUAUAUUUUAGUCAAAAAGCUAAAAUUUUAUUAAAAGACGAGAAGACCCUAUAAAUCUUUAUAUUUUGUGUUGUUUAAAUUUUUUAGAUUUAUUUUAUUUUUAUGACUUAAAGUAUUUUGUUGGGGUGAUAUUAAAAUUUGAUGAACUUUUAAUUGUUUAAGAUCAUUAAUUUAUGAUUUAUUGAUCCAUUAGUAGUGAUUAUAAGAUUAAGUUACUUUAGGGAUAACAGCGUAAUUUUUUUGGAGAGUUCUUAUCGAUAAAAAAGUUUGCGACCUCGAUGUUGGAUUAAGAUAUAUUUUUAGGUGUAGCUGCUUAAAUAUUAAGUCUGUUCGACUUUUAAAUUCUU